rnacentral:ncRNA from 1 species
AACAGGGAAGCCGGUGAGAGACCGGCGCGGCCCCCGCCACUGUGACCGGGGACGAAGGCGGAACAUCCACUGGAGCUCCGGCGCCUUUCUUUCAAGGAAGCGCCGCCUCUGGGAAGGACCGCUGGAGGACGAUCCGGGAGCCAGGAAACCU